rnacentral:rRNA from 1 species
GACGAACGCUGGCGGCGUGCUUAACACAUGCAAGUCGAACGGUGAAGCGCCUUCCUUUUUGGUGGGUGUGGAUGAGUGGCGAACGGGUGAGUAACACGUGAGUAACCUGCCCCCUUCUUCUGGAUAACCGCAUGAAAGUGUGGCUAAUACGGGAUAUUCUGGGUCUGUCGCAUGAUGGGUCUGGGAAAGAUAUUGUUUCGGUGGGGGAUGGGCUCGCGGCCUAUCAGCUUGUUGGUGGGGUGAUGGCCUACCAAGGCGGUGACGGGUAGCCGGCCUGAGAGGGUGGACGGUCACACUGGGACUGAGACACGGCCCAGACUCCUACGGGAGGCAGCAGUGGGGAAUAUUGCACAAUGGGCGCAAGCCUGAUGCAGCGACGCCGCGUGAGGGAUGGAGGCCUUCGGGUUGUGAACCUCUUUCGCCAGUGAAGCAGGCCUGCCUCGUUUGUGGGUGGGUUGACGGUAGCUGGAUAAGAAGCGCCGGCUAUCUACGUG